AUGUUCCGACCAGGUGAAAAUGGGCAAUUGGACGUUUAUACCCUUAGUUUAAAUUUUGAAUCAGGUCGCUGGAUCGUCUUCCACCUCCGCCACCGCCCCUGCCCUCCACCUCCGCCUCCGCCCCCGCCUCCACCUCCGCCUCCGCCUCCGUCCCCGCCCUCCACCUCCGCCUCGGCCCCCGCCUCCACCUCCACCCACGCCGUCCUGGGGCUCCUCCUGGACGGCGCGCGCCCAGGUGAUGCUCUGCUGCCGCCUGCUCGUGGAGGCGGGCUGGUGCUCUGCUGCUGUCCGCUGGUGGAGUCGAGCUGCUGCUCUGCUGCCGGCUGCUGGUGA
rnacentral:rRNA from 1 species